rnacentral:misc_RNA from 1 species
GAUGAAGAACGUAGUGAAAUGCGAUAAGUAAUGUGAAUUGCAGAAUUCAGUGAAUCAUCGAAUCUUUGAACGCACCUUGCGCCCUUUGGCAUUCCGAAGGGCAUGCCUGUUUGAGUAUCAUGAACACCUCAACUCUUCAUGGUUUUCCAUGAUGAGCUUGGACUUUGGGGGUCUUGCUGGCCUGCGGUCGGCUCCUCUCAAAUGAAUCAGCUUACCAGUGUUUGGUGGGCAUCACAGGUGUGAUAACUAUCUGCACUUGUGGUUUUCCACCAAGUAACCUUCAGCAGUGGAGGUUCACUGGAGCUCACAGACGUCUCUCCUCAGUGAGGACAGCCCUUUGAAUGUUUGAUCUCAAAUCAGGUAGGACUACCCGCUGAACUAAAGCAUAUCAAUAAGCGGAGGA